rnacentral:tRNA from 1 species
CAGAGAAUAGUUUAUUUUAAAAUAUUAGUUUUGGGAAUUAAUGAAAAGAUUUUUAUUUCUUUUCUCUGA